rnacentral:rRNA from 1 species
AGUGAACGCUGGCGGUAGGCCUAACACAUGCAAGUCGAACGGCAGCACAGGAGAGCUUGCUCUCUGGGUGGCGAGUGGCGGACGGGUGAGGAAUACAUCGGAAUCUACUCUGUCGUGGGGAUAACGUAGGGAAACUUACGCUAAUACCGCAUACGACCUACGGGUGAAAGCAGGGGACCUUCGGGCCUUGCGCGAUUGAAUGAGCCGAUGUCGGAUUAGCUAGUUGGCGGGGUAAAGGCCCACCAAGGCGACGAUCCGUAGCUGGUCUGAGAGGAUGAUCAGCCACACUGGAACUGAGACACGGUCCAGACUCCUACGGGAGGCAGCAGUGGGGAAUAUUGGACAAUGGGCGCAAGCCUGAUCCAGCCAUACCGCGUGGGUGAAGAAGGCCUCCGGGUUGUAAAGCCCUUUUGUUGGGAAAGAAAUCCAGCUGGCUAAUACCCGGUUGGGAUGACGGUACCCAAAGAAUAAGCGCCGGCUAACUCCGUGCCAGCCGCCGCCGUAA